GCGUUGUCCGGAUUUAUUGGGCGUAAAGGGUUUUUAGGCGGCUGACAAAGUCGGGUGUGAAACCUCCAGGCUCAACCUGGAGACGCCACCCGAUACUGGUCUGGCUAGAGUCCGGUAGGGGAGCACGGAAUUCCCGGUGUAGCGGUGAAAUGCUUAGAUAUCGGGAGGAACACCAGUGGCGAAGGCGGUGCUCUGGGCCGGAACUGACGCUGAAGAACGAAAGCGU
rnacentral:rRNA from 1 species